rnacentral:rRNA from 1 species
CCCAAAAUACCAUUAAUUUUUAUGAACCCCUAAUUUAUAAUGAAUGACUCCAUAUUUAUAUGGAAGACACCAUGCUAGGAUUAGUAACAAGAAUUUAUAAUUCUCCAAAAUGCAAAUAUAAACCAACAUGGAUAGACCAUUGGUAGUUACCGAACCUAAAUUCAAUGCAAUAACAUCCACAAGAAAACUCUGCAGUACUCACUCGUUAACCUAACACCAGCGCAUUACAGGAAAGAUUUAAAAAAAGAGAAGGAAUUCGGCAAAUGACGGCCCCGCCUGUUUACCAAAAACAUCGCCUCUUGACUUAUAAUAAGAGGUCCAGCCUGCCCAGUGAAUUUUAAACGGCCGCGGUAUCCUAACCGCGCGAAGGUAGCAUAAUCACUUGUUCUUUAAAUGGGGACUUGUAUCAACGGCAUCACGAGGGUUUUACUGUCUCCUCUUUUUGAUCAGUGAAAUUGAUCUUCCCGUGAAGAAGCGGGAAUAUUUUUAUAAGACGAGAAGACCCCAUGGAGCUUUAAACCAAAUAACAACUUAACCACUUAUCCCAUAAUAAAUUUAAGCCCUGUUAUAAGGUUUUUGGUUGGGGUGACCGCGGAGUAAAGCACAUCCUCCACGACGGAAAGAACAGAAUCUUUAUUUAAGAACCACACUUCUAGAAAUUAGUAUACUAACGUUUACUGACCCGACAAUCGAUCAACGGACCAAGUUACCCUGGGGAUAACAGCGCAAUCUACUUCAAGAGCUCAUAUCGACAAGUAGGCUUACGACCUCGAUGUUGGAUCAGGGUAUCCCGGUGGUGCAGCCGCUACCGAAGGUUCGUUUGUUCAACGAUUAAAACCCUACGUGA